rnacentral:pre_miRNA from 1 species
CAUCAAAGAAGCUGUGGAAUGUGUUCUAACUUUGUAUCAUAUCACAGCCAUCUUUGAUGAGC